GACAGAGGGGGCAAGCGUUGUCCGGAGUUACUGGGCGUAAAGGGCGCGGAGGCGGUCUGCGGCGUCGGCGCUGAAAGCGCCCCGCUUAACGGGGCGAGGCGUGUCGAUACGCGCAGGCUCGAGGCGAGCAGAGGGUGGCGGAAUUCCGGGUGGAGCGGUGAAAUGCGUAGAGAUCCGGAGGAACGCCAGUGGGGAAGCCGGCCACCUGGGCUCGGCUUGACGCUGCGGCGCGACAGCGUGGGGAGCAAACCGG
rnacentral:rRNA from 1 species